GAUGAACGCUGACAGAAUGCUUAACACAUGCAAGUCUACUUGAAUUUGGGUUUUUUAACUUAGAUUUGGGUGGCGGACGGGUGAGUAACGCGUAAAGAACUUGCCUCACAGUUAGGGACAACAUUUGGAAACGAAUGCUAAUACCUGAUAUUAUGAAUAUAUGGCAUCAUAUAAUUAUGAAAGCUAUAAGCGCUGUGAGAGAGCUUUGCGUCCCAUUAGCUAGUUGGAGAGGUAACGGCUCACCAAGGCGAUGAUGGGUAGCCGGCCUGAGAGGGUGAACGGCCACAAGGGGACUGAGACACGGCCCUUACUCCUACGGGAGGCAGCAGUGGGGAAUAUUGGACAAUGGACCAAGAGUCUGAUCCAGCAAUUCUGUGUGCACGAUGACGUUUUUCGGAAUGUAAAGUGCUUUCAGUUGGGAAGAAAAAAAUGACGGUACCAACAGAAGAAGUGACGGCUAAAUGCGUG
rnacentral:rRNA from 1 species